UCUCCCAUCGCCGCCUGCUCCCACCUUUUCCUCUCUUCUUUUUCCUCCUUCCCCACACCAAAGGACAACCAUGGCAGACGAAGCCCACAUCCCUCUCGUCCUUUUCUCACUAUUCAUAACGUCACCAUGGUACUCGAAGCCAUGGAAAAGCUUCCACUCCACCGAAUCCUCAACGAGUAGUUUCGAAUCUAGGGAAUCAAAGUUGAAAUUGAUUCAAACACUCUUGGACCCAUUUCGUUGCUCAAAAUCAAGUGUAUACAGAUGAGUGGAAGACAUUGGCUAUAGGAUGUCCCCAUGCUACCACCUGGAUUGGCGAGCUCCAUCUCAGUUCGGAGUGUUGCCUGGUCAAAGUACUUAUGUCAUGGUAUUUUGUAUAUGUUAGAAACUUUGCAGACAGUGUCCUGUGGAUAGGGCGUCGAGAAGUGCGAAUCAUUUGAAGAUUUUAAAAGAGUUUCGAUAGAGCGAAUGUUUAAGGGUUCGCUCGACUCUGAUGAGAGUCGGGUGCCCGUCAUGCCCUAUCAAGAUUAGGGUGUGACAGGGCCAUUGCACGUUUGCUUUCUUGAUGCCAAGAGGGACAUUCAUACAAACUGCCGAGAGGGCCAUUCGUACAAACUACCGAGAGGGCCAUUGUAUGUUUACUUUCUUGCUGCCAAGAGGGCCAGUCAUAAAAACUGCCUAGAGGGCCAUUCAUACAAACUGCCGAGAGGGUCAUUCAUGCAAACUGCCAAGAGGGACAUUCAUACAAAUGUCAUGAAAAUAUCUGCAAUAUUUUUGAAUUUCAGAAGCAGGUGCACAACCUCCAAAAAGGCGCCAGUGUGCUGAACCUGAUCCAGACGAAUUGCCGAGCAAAUGUGGAACUUUUCUUACGCAGCCGGUCAAGAUAGGGUGCCGAUGAGAGUCAAGCUCUCCGGCCAGGACUUGGAAGCCAUCCAAUCUCAGACUUAGCCACAAUCUGUCUAUUUUAUUAAAAAUCGCGACCGGUCAGAUACACACCAGCGAAAUCUGAAAGUAUUCCCGCAAAAGGGACAUACUCUUCUCAGCGAGUCGAACUACAUGUGGCCUGAUUCUUAGAGGCUAGGGAUAUGUAGGCAGGCUCAAAUUCAGAGAGUCGGCCACACCCUGACAACCGUCCAGAGAAACCCCGAUCACAACACCGGGAAUCUCAGGAAUUUCCUGCAAAAUCACUUGAAAGUCUUUGACUGAGUCGAACUAAAGGUGUCAUGAAUUCUUGUAUAGCCCAAGAUAUGUAGGAAACCCAGAAGCCAGGGUCUGGCCGCAUAUGUGAAUUCCAUGAAAUUGAAGGGUAAGAUGAAUCAGGUCCGUCAAAAAUUAGGGUUAGUCAAAUUUCGUAGCUCAGGGAUGGUCUCGCCAUCCCCGAACACCGAAGGGGCAGUUGUUGAUACCUAGUUUUUGACCUCCCAUAAUUUAUUUUAAUUGCAUAGAGUCCUUGGAUAACAAAUAAAAUGAGUUGUGCAUCUUAAAUGGUCUAAAUAAUUUUUUAUAAAAUUAUUCAGGAUAAUAUUUUGCCUCUUUAAAUUGAUAAAGAGAAUUUUAGGGCAUUAUAAAUUAUGUGAAAAUUAAUUGAUUAUCGAAUAUUUUUUUGGAAUUACUCAAAAAAACAAAACAAUUUUGAAUAAAAAUUUACUUAAUUGUUGAAUCAAGGAAAAAUCUAAUAGAUAAAUAAUUUAUUCUAUUUUUUAUCCAAGGUAAUUUGUGUAAUUAAGGGAAUUGACCAUUUUACCCCUCAACCUUUGAUUCUGUGUGUUUGCAUAGUUGUUUAAUGAAUAAAUUAUUUUGGUAAUUUAAUUUUGUUAAUUAGAGGGGUCAUUUUGCAAAUUGAUUUUGAUUAGUUAAUUAUUUUUAGAUAAGUGACCACAAUUGAAUUAACCAAUUCAUGGUUUAAAGUGAUUGGGAUAAUUUUGCAAAUUUAGCCUCCUAAUGGUUUUGAUUGAGAUGACCAAAUCCAUGGGCAAAUCAAUUGAGGUCAUUAGCGCAAAUUAGCUUUAAUUGGUCAAUUAGUACCAAAAUAAGGAUAUAAUUGAAAUAAUUAAUCAGAUUAAGAUUAGUCAAGGAUAUUUUUACAGUUAGCUAGAUAAAAGGUUACAAUUGCAAAAAAUCAUUUAGGUUUAAAGCCAAUUGAGGCCAUAUCUGUAAAAAAGGGUUAAUAACUGAUAUUUUAGCUUGGGCCAUUUAUUAGACUACAUAUUUGGUCCUUCAUACCUAUAUAUACACUAUGUAUACAUAUGUAUACAUUUGUGUGUAUAUAUAUGUCAAAAGAGGCCUCUUUCAUUUUUUUUUAAAGAGUAGGACUGAGUCCAGUCCAUAAUGGACCAGACCCGGCCCAUAUAGCAUUUAAAGGGGGGGGGGUAUACGUAUACCCUCCCCUCAUUUCCUACUUCACAGACCCUACAGGUCUCAGUGUAAAAGAAAAAGAGGCGAGGCGGCUAGGGCAAAACCCUAGCACCGCCUCUACCACUGGCCCACCCCUCUUUUUUCCUCGCCGUGUCCCAUCAUAGAUGGACUGUAGAACGUGGGAAAUCUGAGAAGAGGAUGAAGCAUUAAUGGCUUCGUCCUUUUCCAUACGCCUUCUCCACAAAAUCCAUCCAAACGCUCCCUUAAGGUACAAUCCUUGCAAUUUAUUUAUUUAUUUAUCGUUGAUUUAUAGUGGUUUUAAGGUGAAAAUGAGUCAUUGAUUGUAGUUUCCUUUUGAUCUGGAUAGUAUACGGUUGAAUUCAAGUGAAGACUUGUGGAAAACCUACAACUCCCAUAUCGGUUUUGUAAGAUUUGAGACAAGUUUUCGGGUUAUAUAAAUAGAAACCCAUCCCUCACCAUUAAAACAAGUUUGACAACCUUAACAGGCUUGAACUUUGAGCCUUACUCGAAAUUUAGGCUUCACUAAGUGCUAUUUAGACUUUAACUAAAAGGUUUGAGUCUUUUCUAGUUCUAAAAUUUUGUUUCUUUUCCGUGUCCUGUAUUUUGUGUGGCUGAGUUCAAUUUUAGAAGCACGAAGGAGGCUCCAAGUCCAUUCUUGCUCUGGUUGCACUCAAGAAAGGUAACAAUUUACUAUUUUAUUGCUUUUUUUUAUUUAAGUUCCUACCUAAGUUAAUGAUAGUUUGGUGUGGUUGAGCAUUAUAUGUGUAGUUAAAUGUAGUCUUGUAUUAGUAAUAUGCUUAGUUUGAUGUUUAUUGCUUAAGCAAUGAUUUUUGGCUUGUGUUAUACUAAAGGUUCGUCAAUCCCAUACUUGUUUGAUGGCUUCUGAUUAUGAUAACUUGGCUUAGAUAGUGAUUAUUAUGACCUAUUUGAAUUGAUCUCUGAGUGAUAUUGUUUGAAUGGGAGUGCAUCUGGGUAGUUUGAAGGGUCUUUGGCACUGUUAAUGAAAAGUGGACUUAGAACAGCCUUAAGAGGAUCUUUGUUUUGUCUAAAAUGGUUAACCGACUUGUAAAACAGGUUUGUUAAGUAUGGAUAGUAGUCAUACUUGGUUUAACUUAAAUGAUGAGAUGCCAGAUUCUCAAAAUGACAUUAGGAAAGAAUUUCAAAAGGGUGGCAGGUUAACAUAAAGUAUGUAUGUGCUAUGUGUAGAGAAGUUAUCUUCACCAAUAUUGCUCAUUUAAGUCUUGAGAAUUAAAAAAGAUAAAAGAAGAAGGGAAAGUUUUGGUACAACUUUGUCCAGGUCCUUUUGUGAAUCUGUUUGUACUAUUUUGGAUGUUGUGGUCUAACUGUUAAAAUGAAUAGUAGUCACAGCCAAGAGGGAGACUAAUGAUGAUAUUUAGGAUUUUUGUAAAGCUAAAAUGAGUUGCAUUUGAUCCUGUCUUGCUUUGUUAUGUGUGAAUUAGUCCUGAAGGAGAACAUAUAUGCUUUGAGAUGCUGUGUGAUAUAAAGAACAAAAUCAUUUCUUGAGGAGAGCUUUGGAUUGAGAUUGUCUUGAACAUGAAUAUAUGUCACUGUCACCUAAAUAUUUAUGCUAGGUCUGUUUUAGUGAUCGUGCUUGUAACUUGGCCAUAAGACUUUUAAAGUUUGGAUAGGGUUUAAUGAGUCAACUGUGGUAAACUUGUGAUAGUGAUAAGCUAUUCUAAACCUUCCCAAGGCUCCUAGUGUUGUCACUAGGGUAUGAGGAUGAGGUCAGAAAAGGGAAAGGUCUUGGGAGAGUAAAAGGUGAGCCUGGGCAUGAGCUGGAGGUAGUAUAACCAUUGGAACCCGGGAUCCCUUUUUACUGAAAGGAGAUUCAGGAAAAGGAAAUGGGGAGGUGAUGACGCCACCCUAUCUUGCUUCCCUUUCAGGACCCUAAGGCUUCUUCUCAUUCUUUGAACCUUCUUCUCAUGGUUCUGGGACACACAAGGACCUCAGGUGGAUUAGGAAAGCUUAGCUACAUCUAGGGAAGGGAUACACCUAGAGUUAAAUAAUGUUUUGGCAGUACUUGUAACGCUUAAGUCACGUAUUUUCACUAUGUCUUCUAAAAUAGAUUUUAAUAUUGGGUGAUUGGUUGUUUGUGCUGUUGUUGUCUGAGUUUGGGGUUUGGUAGAGAAAUAGGAUUAGGGAGUGUACUAGUGGUAAUCCAAGCCAAUAUCCUAGAGGGACUGAGUAAUAACCUUGUUGCUUGCCAUUGGUUUUUACUUAUGAUCAUGUGCAUUCUAAUUCUCCUUAACUUGUGCACCUAUACUUUGCACUUAGGAAACUGUUUAUUUGUGAUGAUGAUUGAGUCUUUGAUUAUGAAAACCUGACCAUGCUAUAAACUUUUUUCUUUUUUCCUUUUUUUGAAAGAUUUGCUAAGAUUAAAUAUUUGAAGAACCAUUACUAGGAACUAAAAUUGAUUCAAGCCUAUUUUGACUGAUUGCUUACAUAAUAUGCUCCUUAAAUUCGUUUUCCUAAAGGUUCUGAGGGUACAUCUAUGCGUGAAUUGACAUUGGUUCUAGUUAGCAGACUUGUUUGUUAUAUUCUGGGAUUUGUAAAAAGGUUUGCGAGCUAAAACCACUAAGUCUAAAUGUGUGCUUUAAGUCACAAACUCUUCCAAUGCUUUUUUUUUUUAAAAUGAAUUAAUGUAAUGCCCAAGGUGAAAACCUGCCUGUUGUGCCCUCUCUAGACUUGUUUUGUACCUCUGAUUUGAGAUUCUAAUGGUUUGCUUAUAUGGUUAAUGUCACUACUUGAUUGUUUGGCUUUCUGCUUCUAUGAGAAUGCUCUGCCUAUGUACUGAACUACUAUUUCUUGAUAAUUAUGUUGUGUACAUCCCUGGGGCUGGUUUGAAUUGGGCUUAUUACAUGGCAUGACCUAUAGGGAGUGUAGACUAAUUUGUGGUAAUUCUAGGAAGUUAAAAGGGCCUUAGUAACCUGUUAAUGGUGAGCUGACCCAUGCUAUGAUUCUGAAUUAGCUUAGUGAUGCCUUGAGGAGUCUG